AAACUACUUAAUUCUGUUUUGAAAACAGUUUAUAAGAAAGGGGGUUUUCUUGUAGUUUU
rnacentral:tRNA from 1 species